rnacentral:rRNA from 1 species
UACAGAGACUGCAAGCGUUAUUCGGAUUCACUGGGCGUAAAGGGUGCGCAGGCGGCCAAGUGUGUGAGGCGUGAAGCCUGGGCUUAACUCCAGAAUUGCACCUCAAACUACAUGGCUAGAGCAUUGGAGAGGGUAGCAGAAUUCACGGUGUAGCAGUGAAAUGCGUAGAUAUCGUGAGGAAUACCAGAGGCGAAGGCGGCUACCUGGACAAUUGCUGACGCUCAGGCACGAAAGCGUGGGAGCAAAAGGG